CCCGCCAUUUUGACGUUUUAAGCACAAAGCUAAACGCAAACGGUAGAAAAACUCUUUUCUAUGUUCGGACAACCGUUUCGGCGUCUUUUUGCACGGUGGCUGACUCCUUGUACAGAUCUUGAUCACAGCCUGGUUGAAGUCCUCGGAUUGGUCUGCGAAUACGUAGUGACCUGCACCCUGAAUGACCUUGAAAGAAUUAGGAAGAAAAAGGUGACUGUGGGGAGUUUUACAGGGGAAGACAAUGUGAUCACUGAAAUCAAACUUACUAUGAUUUCUGUCUGUGAGUUGGGUCUCAUUUCUUGAAUUGCCUUUCCUGAUUGGCCAUCGAUGUUGGAACGUGAUCCGUAGAUGAAGGUCAUGGGAAGAGAGGGACUGAUCAUCUCCACACGGUCCAUCAUGGGGUGCUGAGGCCAUGCAUAUGGGAUCGUCAUGUUUUUAAACGCUGUCUCACCGCUGACAAAUCACAAGACAAAUUAUUAGGCUAAACAUUUUUGUAAUUUAUGUUAGGUAAGAAAGUAGUUAUUCCAUCUGGGUUCGCGGUUUAUACCUGGCUGUUUGUGCGUUCACAUGGUAUAUGUAAUCAGCCACUGUGUCAUCAGCAAAUACAGAAGCAUAUUUCUGCUUGAAA